GUUGCUGAAAUGGCGGACGCUCAAUCAGUAGGCACCGUCGGCCAAUUGGGCUGCUAACAAGCCGCUGGGACGACACAACUGAUUGGCCAGCUCUGGAAUUAAAGGACCGUUUGAGCUUAACGAGAGGAGGAACUUGCUGUUUCUUCAUUACCCGACCGCCUCGACCGAGAAAGAGAACCCAGCUACUGGCUGAGUAGGAGGAUGCUGCAGUAACUCAUGUGAAUAAACACAUCUGAAAUGUGUAGCAUUUGUCAAGACUGCGGUGAGGUAGGCCACAUCCAAGGUUGUCUCCCCCUGCCGUCAUGCCAACCCCACAGGUUUUUAGGUUCUGCAGUCACUGCAGGGCGAAUGACUGAGAGAGGAGCAGUAACAUUGUCCCCUGUAGGGGUGAAUCUUCAGAAGGCCGGGUCCACUUACAUUAUCGCACACUUCUAGAAGCCUUCGCCAGAGCAUGUGGCCUUGUACGGCAGCAACAGUCCUGGGACCCGCUAUGACACCAGGCUUGGACAGAACCUUUAACUAUAACUCAACUGCUCUACAACAUUACGGUGCCUGUACAGCACAAAAGUAUGACUACGACCACUGUUUUGGAGUUAAGCAGAAGAUUUGUGUUUCGUAGCAAGUUUCUACAAGUGUCUUUUGAAAAUGUUAUUAGUGUAACUUGCUACUAGAUAGCUGUAUGACUAUUUUUACUGCAAUGAGGAGUUAAUGAUUUUGUAUACUACAUGAGUCUAUAGCAAGCAAAAUGUAAUUCAAAAUUUCUGACAGUAAACUCAGAUAGUAAAUUGAGCUUGUCAUCACAAUGACAAGGACAGAAGGUCAAAGUUUUCAGUUACCUUGGUAAUUGUGCAAGCUUUUUUAAUGGCCAGUUAGAAAUUCUAUGGCACUUAUAAAGUUCUCUCGAUUCAAAGCAGCGUUUGCAUUUUUAAAGCCUUAUAGUUUAAAAGUAUAAAAAGAAUCACUAACAAGCAACAUAGGUCAGGAAGUUUAUGGUUGUGAAAUCUAUGUCUAGAAUUAUAACUGGAAUAAUAAUUACAAUAAGAACUAUUCUUUUAAAGAACUGUAGUUUGUGCCUUCAGCAAGCAAACUAAUUAAAGGAAACAUAAUGGGAUAAUUAAAAUGGAAACAAUUAAUGGAAACAUAAUGUACUGCAUAUCAGUUGCUUGUCACACUCUGAUUCUGCUCAGUCUGUCCUUGCUUCAUCGGGAAAAUUUAAUAUUCAAGUAGUUAUGCCUCAUUGGGCUUAUAAUGUUUUCCCUCUGAUUUCGUUUGAAACUUUUAAUAAUUUGAGGACACCUUGGGCCUCUUUCACAAAACUUUUUUGAAGUUCCAAUGAGAAACCAAUGUGGGGAUCGUGAAACACGGAAACAUGCACAGAACGUCAAUUUUGUGUACAUCUCAGGUGUAUCGGGUGACGAAUGCCGAUUUUUAAUAAAUUGGCUGGGCGUGCCUGUUCAUGUAAUUAGUACAAUGGAACUUAGAAACUCCCUGUAGUCCCAUAAAAGGCAUGCCGACUUCAGGGUCAUGUGCAAACCUCAGCCAAUCAUCGCUCUCCACAAACAUACCUGGUCCCUAAAGAUUUGCUCCCUCUCCAAGGCACAAUUAGCCACGUAAUUCAGAAGCAGCAAAUACACUUGUUAAGGGCUGCGUUUGACUACACACUUGUGGGUCUUGUAAAUAUAGUCACUUUCAUCAAUAAAGGAAAUGUGCUCCCAACAAAGUAUCGCAAAUUAAAACAAAUUAUUUGAAUGUACU